GCAAGAUGGCGGCGCCGGGAGGACUCUCAUUCUGAGCAGCAGCAGCAGGAUCAGCACAGUGACCAGCAAUCAGAACUCUCGGCCAUAAAACACAGUCAUUGUGUUUCCCAGCUUUGGGUCAUCCUGAUGGCUGCGCUCCUGCGGCACGGCCCUACCUUCUGUGAUGGACUGUAUUCCACAUGAAGAUAUGAAUAACACAGCAAUAAACCUGGCUGCCUGGAUCUCUGUGACCAGCUUACACACCUUGAGGCCGAUACCCAGGAAGAGUGCAGCUCAGACAGCAGUUCUGUCUUUUG